UUUCUAUCCAGAGAGGUGGAGGGACUGGCCCUACGAAACCUCGGCAAAAACGUGCCAAUUCCAGCAGACGAUUCGUCUGGGAGAUAGGAA
rnacentral:ncRNA from 1 species